GAAUUGCGAAAAGUAAUGUGAAUUGCAGAAUUUCGUGAAUCAUCGAAUCUUUGAACGCAUAUUGCACUUUCUGGUCCUCCAGAAAGUAUGCCUGUUUGAGUAUCAUUUAACCCCUCAUUCCCUUCACGGGCGUUCACGCGCUUCGCGUCGGGCAAUGGACCUGAGUGUCUGGCGCGCCGCUGGCAUUUGCGCAUUUAUGUGCGAGUCGUCGGCAGCAUUGGCGUCGGUCGCUUAAAAUGCAGCGUGGUUGUGUUUGACUGACCUUCCAUUGGCGUAUUAGUUCUCGUCAGAGAUUCCUUACGCAUCAACGGUGGAUCUACUGGUCUGCAGCCGCGACUCUAACAACCGCAGCGUGCUUACAGUCUGUAAGCGUGCUCGAAUUUUUGAUCUCAAAUCAGGC
rnacentral:misc_RNA from 1 species